UGUACAGAUUCUAAAGUUGUAGAUGAACAGGCAGCAAUUGAGGAUGCAAUUUCUAUUUUAAUGACUGCUCAAUCAGGGGCUAAUUUAAAUCAUGAUGUAG
rfam:Selenihalanaerobacter shriftii strain ATCC BAA-73 genome assembly, contig: EI55DRAFT_scaffold00001.1